rnacentral:rRNA from 1 species
UACGAAGGGGGCUAGCGUUGCUCGGAAUCACUGGGCGUAAAGCGCACGUAGGCGGCUUUCUAAGUCAGGGGUGAAAUCCUGGAGCUCAACUCCAGAACUGCCUUUGAUACUGGAGAGCUCGAGUCAGGAAGAGGUGAGUGGAACUCCGAGUGUAGAGGUGAAAUUCGUAGAUAUUCGGAAGAACACCAGUGGCGAAGGCGGCUCACUGGUCCGGUACUGACGCUGAUGUGCGAAAGCGUGGGGAGCAAACAGG